rnacentral:rRNA from 1 species
GUCUGGGAUACGCACUUGGAAACAGGUGGCUAAUACCGGAUAACAACAAUAGCUGCAUGGCUAUUGCUUAAAAGGCGGCGAAAGCUGUCGCUAAAGGAUGGACCCGCGGUGCAUUAGCUAGUUGGUAAGGUAAUGGCUUACCAAGGCGACGAUGCAUAGCCGAGUUGAGAGACUGAUCGGCCACAUUGGGACUGAGACACGGCCCAAACUCCUACGGGAGGCAGCAGUAGGGAAUCUUCCACAAUGGGCGAAAGCCUGAUGGAGCAACGCCGCGUGAGUGAAGAAGGUUUUCGGAUCGUAAAGCUCUGUUGUUGGUGAAGAAGGAUAGAGGUAGUAACUGGCCCCUAUUUGACGGUAAUCAACCAGAAAGUCACGGCUAACUACGUGCCAGCAGCCGCGGUAAUACGUAGGUGGCAAGCGUUGUCCGGAUUUAUUGGGCGUAAAGCGAGCGCAGGCGGAAAGAUAAGUCUGAUGUGAAAGCCCCCGGCUUAACCGAGGAAUUGCAUCGGAAACUGUGUUUCUUGAGUGCAGAAGAGGAGAGUGGAACUCCAUGUGUAGCGGUGGAAUGCGUAGAUAUAUGGAAGAACACCAGUGGCGAAGGCGGCUCUCUGGUCUGUAACUGACGCUGAGGCUCGAAAGCAUGGGUAGCGAACAGGAUUAGAUACCCUGGUAGUCCAUGCCGUAAACGAUGAGUGCUAAGUGUUGGGAGGCUUCCGCCUCUCAGUGCUG